UCUGUAUUUUGCUGGCGGCUCUGGGUGAAAAACCCUUGUGAAAUAUGGACGAUCCACACUUGGGGAGAAAGGUAGGGCCGAAGUCCCAUGAGAAAAGCAGAAUGAGCCUUAACCACCCGCAGGAGAGUAAAAUCAACUCACUCACUCCACCCAGGAAGCAGAAGACACACAGGUCAGAUGACCACCUGGGCUGGCUGUUGGUGUAGACCAUGAGCAUCUAUAGGCUCAGAUCCCAGAGCAUAUACUUUGUGCAGGGAAGGUUUCCCACGUGGCACUGCGGCUUAGGUCGGAGACUGGAGGCCACUGGGUUCCAUACCAAUCUCUGAUGGCUGCUGCUGGACACCAGUACCCUCUGAGGUGGUGCCAGGACCCUCGGAUGGCUAUAGAUAUGUAUCCUGCCCGUUUCUACUGUGCACGUGUGUGUGAGUGUGUGGGGGAUGCCUUGCCCCAGCAGGGCCCUCCUACAUGUUCGGGCCAAGGGGUCAGGAGAUUCGUAAGGAAGGCUAUGACCAAGGAAGGAGGCCAUCGGGGAGCACCAGGGGGCACCCGCACAGCUGACACACAAAUGGACGUGAGGGUCACAUGGACUGGUUCACCUGUCUGUGGCAAGUGAAGACAGAAGAACUGUACCGACACACAGAUGGGCACAUUUUCCUGGGGCCCAUGUCUUCGAGGAACCUGCAGCCUUGUCACCCUCUGUCUAUCUGUCUGAUCAGAAGGGAGUUACCUUGUUACCUGCCACCAAGGGUGCCAUAGCAAGCGGUGGCUGUGUCUGAUGACAGACAGGAGAGAGGUGGUGCCACGUGUUGUUGGCUGUCUCUGUCUUUGGGCUGCAUGUAGGGGAACUCAGGGUUGUGUGUGUAUAGGGCUGGGUCAGCAUCCAGUGUGUGCCAGGACUGGCCUGGGUCCUUCUGAGAGCAGGCACAGCCCCUGGAAUGAAUUCCUGCUGUUGGUCUUGCCUGCCUCCAUGGGGCCUCCAAUGUUGGGGUCUUUUCCCCCUACCCUUACCUUCAUCCUGGGCUCUGCAUAGAUCCUUCAGGCUCAUACGAUGGUCUGCAUCAUGCCCACUAGCUACCCUCCAGGGCUAACAAUGGAAGGUUGUUGGGGUCACAGAGCAGCCUGAUAUUGGCUCCUCCUCUGAGGUUGAGGAAAGAGCAGUGCCAGUACCCUCUAAAGGGACUGAAUCUCUCUGUAGAGCACAGCCUAGUGUGACCCAUAUAGUUCCACCCUCCAACUGGGAGGGGGACUGAAGACCUCUAGUUCUGAUGAGCCCACCCAUCACUGAUGAAUGUCAGAUUCUAAUUAAGUCACUUCCAGCAGGACUUCUAGAGCCAGGAGGUGGUUGUUGAGGAUUUGGGGAGCAGUGUAUUAAGUUGCGGGAGUGGCCCUGGGGGGUUCAUGUUAGGUCUACCAGAGGGGUGAGGGUUAGAGAUCUGCUGGGAUUAGGGAGCCAGUGGCUUAGAGAAGCCCCUAUUCACAUGAACCCCCACCUCCUACUCCAUCCCCCACCCACCACAAAGGAAUGCCAGCUUAGAGGCUGGAUUAGAAACACCCCCACCUAGAGAGGAAGUUGCUGUGUUGUACCAAAAAGCAACUUGACAGUCUAGUUGAAUUGUUCCCCAUGGAAAAAUUUAUUGCAUUUCUCUUUUCCUAACGUAGCAUCCUGAAACAUGGAGAAAUCACUGGCUCACCUUAAAAGUCCCAUCAGAGCAGCAAAAGGAGCCAGCCAGCAGGGUGAACCACGCCCCUUCCCCAGGCCUGCCUCACACAGGAGACAAAAAUCAGCCCUCUUACUUCACCAAAGGAGGCGGGAGGAGAAAGGUGUCUGUCUGUCUGUCUGAUGCUGAGUGAAAAUCCAUGUCAAACUCUAGCUGAAUGUCAUUUCCAGUGGGAUACCUGUCUGCCUGUUUGGUUUGGUGGUUCUCAGAUCCAGAGAUCCGUGAAAAAACACAGAAAGAGUGUUCAGGCUUGGCUCCCUGGCUCCCAGCCUCCUGCGCUCACACUGGGCACUGAUGAGUGCAGGUUCACAACACAAACAUGCUCCCCCCGCAUCCACCCACACCCCAACUCUAACAACCCACACAGAUGUCCUGAUCAUCACCUAUAAAACUGGCAUAUGAAGCUCAGCUCGGCUCAGCACUGCACUGCUCUGCUUCACUUGGCUCUGCUCAGCUGGGCUCCAUAAACCCCACAUGUGUCUGUCUAUCCAUUUGCCCCCUGAUUGGACUGACUCCUAGAUCAUCAUCCAUGAACCCACUUGGGACCCGUUUCUCUCUGUUUGCUCUCUCUCUCUCUCUCUCUGUCUCUCUCUCUCUCUCUCUGCUUUUUGUCGUGCAAGGGGCCUUGCUUUUAGCUGUCUCUCAGCUGUCCUUGUGGCCCUAUGCCUUUUUUCACUCUCUCCUCCCUGCUUUUUCUCAGACCCUAACACCACACACACCCUUAUGCCUUGAUCUUCACCCGAGAGCCUAACACUCAGGGCUCAGCUGAGCUCUGCUGAUGGAUCCCAGAUCUACCUACUCCUCUUCCUGCCUGUCUGCUGGGAUUCCCACAUCUGUCCUACACAAACACCUUUGGAUCCUCUCUCCGAUCCCUCCCUGUUUUCAUCCCCAGUCCUGUCCCUUUUACCACCCAUCUGCACACUCUCUGUACCUUUCUCUGAGCCCUUAGACUCUUUCUGCCUCACUCUCUCUGUCUGUCUCUCUGUCUCUGUCACUGUCUCUGUCUCUGUCUGUUUCUCUGUCUUUCUCUGUCUCUGCUUUCCUCUGGCCUUUGCCUAGUUUGGGUUCUCUCUGGUUUUGUUUGCAGGGGGAGGAGCUGCAGUCUUUUUUCACUCUCUCGGGUUUUCUCCCUCCCUGGGCUGCUUUCAGUCUCUCUCUGCUUUCUUACCUUCCCCUGGGCUUUUUGGGGCUGGGUCUCAGUUGUUUGUGCAGCCUCACCCAUGUCUCUGUUAACUGGGGCCUUCCCCACUCUUUUACAGACCGUAACAUCACACAGACACACACACACACACACACACACACACACACACACACACACACACACAUACACACACACACACCUAUGCCCUGAUCAUCAACCAUGAGCCUAACACACACAGCAGCUCAGCUCAGCUCAGCUCAGUGGAUUCUAAUCUAAGCCUCUGCCUGGGUCUUGCUGCUGGGAUUGCCCUGUCUGUCUUCAGUCCCUUUGCCUCUUUUGGAUCCCUCCCUCCAUCCCUCAUUCCCCAGUUUAUCCCCCCCCCCCUCCUUUCCCAUUUACCACUGGCUGGGCUGUCCCCUCUGUGCUAUUCUCCGGGGGGCCCUUUAACUCUUUGGACAUCUCUGUCUCUGGCUGUUUCUCCAUCUCUGUCUCUGUCUCUUUCUUUGCUUUUCUCAGGACCUCUGCUCUUUGAAGUUUUACAUUCUUGCCUUUUGGCUCUGGGCUCUGUGCUCUGGUUUCUGUGCUGUGGUCUCUGGGCUCUUGGAGGCUGGGCACAGAGUGGAGGGGACUGAGUGAGUGAGUGGGCUGCCUGGGAGUGGCAGACAGGAUGCAGGGAGUGGAGUAGGGUGGCAACAGGGUGUUGGUUCCGGAGGCUUAGCUAGAGGAGUGCUGGAUUAGGGCAGGCCAGUGGACCCCAGGCAGCUAGGGUUAGGAUGGCCUGGGUUAGAAUUAGCGCAGGGUUGCAGUUUAGCCAGCCUCUGGGCUUAACAGGCAGGGAUUUAGGGAGGCAAUGGGCUGCCACGCCCCAGCAGCCAUGCCACACCCCAGGCUGGAUUGGAUCUGCUGUGGGUUCAUGCACCAUGAAUUCCACAGCCUAGGUGAAAUUUUCCAAGUGGGAAAAGUCUGUCUGCUGACUGAACAUCGAAUUCUCCGAGGCUUUCCUGCUUCCUCUCAGCAUCCAAGGCCUCCGAGGUUCUCCUGUGUCCCUGAGUCCCUGGCUUUCUGAUUUCCAAGAUUGGGCAGAGUUCAGUCAAGGUUCCCUGCCUGGCUUUAAACCCUGCUUUGUCUGGGAUUUCUGGGUUCCCUGAGCUCCCUGGGUGCCCUGCCUCCUCUAUCCUCUCUGCCUCUUCUGGCUGCCCUGGCUGGCUUCCCCAGUCUCCCUCCUGGCUUCCCUGGCACCCCUUCUUCCCAGGCUCCCUGGGCUCCCUGGCUCCUCCUUGCCUUCCUUCCUGGUCCCUGGGUGCUGCUCUGCCUCCCCAGGCUUCUCCGCCUCCUCUGUCUGCCCUGGAUUGCCUCCCUGAUGUCCUUGCUUCCCGGGCCCCCUUCCUUCCCUGGCUGCUUGCCUUCCUCUGUGCUCCUGGCCUGGCUGCCAGCCUCCUUGCCUUCACCCAGGGGCAUCAGCACAGGCCACCCUCCCUCCUAGUCCUCACUGUCCACGUGGCCAUCCCAUUUUGGUGAUUCUCCCAUCCAGAGUUCUUUGGAGUACACCCUGCUGAUCCCCACUCGCUGAUGGCUCUCUGCCCUCUCAGCCCUAAUCCCUAAUCAGCCCCAUAUUCUUUUCCACUUUUUUAAAAUGAAAAUCCUGGGGGCUGGGUGUUUAACUCAGCGGCAUAAACACCUGCCUUGCAAGCAGGGGGUCCUGAAUUCGAUCCCCGGUACAGAUAAAAAUGAAAAAGACCAAGAAAAAAAAAUGAAAUGAAAACCCUGCCUCUGAAAUCCUGAGUCCACCCCAUAAUGCCAUCCUCCUCCUCAGCCAAUGAGCGAGCCAGGAAGUGAGUGAAGGGAAAGGGGACUUCCGGGACACCAGGGUGGUGCCACAGGAGGAGAUGAAAGGAUUAGGGGCCAGGUUGAUGGGAUCUGCAGCCAGCAUGGAGGGAUUAGCUGGGCUGCACGGGCGUGGCCAGAUCUUGGGCUCCUGGGCUCCAGGGUUUCCCAUGCAUUCUCCCUGACUGACCUCAAGCCUUAACAAGCUCAGGCACCAGACACCAUGCAGCAGGAGUUAACCAGCCCACACAGCCAGACCUCUGGCUGGCCCUCCAGAGCUCCCCUUCCCUGCUUUCUCUCUCCAUUCCCCUCCAGGUUCCCAGGACCCCUCUUGCUGGCCCAGCUCCUGGCUCCCAGCUCUCCCAGGAGCUCUGCCUGCUUGCCUGGCUACCUGCCUGACUUCAGGGACCCCAUGACAAUGCGGACCAAGAAGAGAUGGGGACAACAGCCAUCUGCCAUGCAUCGAGUGAGGUUCCUGGGACUUGGCACUCCCAGCUCCUGGAUCCUGGCUCACCAUGCAUCUCCUCCCUCCUGCCAGCCUGCCUGCCCUCCAGGACCCCGUGAUGAUGCGGGCCACGAUGAGUUGAGGCGGACAACAGCUGUCCACCAGACAGCCAGCAAGGUUCCUGGAACCCAGCUCUCUGGGCUCAGGGCUCUGGCCCCCCCAGCUGCAGCCUCCCAGCUCCAAGCUGCCGGCUCUGCUGGAAGCUCCUACCUGCCUGCCUGCCUGACUGCCUGCUGGCCUUCCUGCCUUCCAGGACCCCACGACGAUGAGCAAGAGGAGAUGAGGGGGACCACAGCCAUCCAGCACACACCACAGCACAGCCAGAUGACCACCUGGGCUGGCUGUUGGUGUAGACCAUGAGCAUCUAUAGGCUCAGAUCCCAGAGCAUAUACUUUGUGCAGGGAAGGUUUCCCACGUGGCACUGCGGCUUAGGUCGGAGACUGGAGGCCACUGGGUUCCAUACCAAUCUCUGAUGGCUGCUGCUGGACACCAGUACCCUCUGAGGUGGUGCCAGGACCCUCGGAUGGCUAUAGAUAUGUAUCCUGCCCGUUUCUACUGUGCACGUGUGUGUGAGUGUGUGGGGGAUGCCUUGCCCCAGCAGGGCCCUCCUACAUGUUCGGGCCAAGGGGUCAGGAGAUUCGUAAGGAAGGCUAUGACCAAGGAAGGAGGCCAUCGGGGAGCACCAGGGGGCACCCGCACAGCUGACACACAAAUGGACGUGAGGGUCACAUGGACUGGUUCACCUGUCUGUGGCAAGUGAAGACAGAAGAACUGUACCGACACACAGAUGGGCACAUUUUCCUGGGGCCCAUGUCUUCGAGGAACCUGCAGCCUUGUCACCCUCUGUCUAUCUGUCUGAUCAGAAGGGAGUUACCUUGUUACCUGCCACCAAGGGUGCCAUAGCAAGCGGUGGCUGUGUCUGAUGACAGACAGGAGAGAGGUGGUGCCACGUGUUGUUGGCUGUCUCUGUCUUUGGGCUGCAUGUAGGGGAACUCAGGGUUGUGUGUGUAUAGGGCUGGGUCAGCAUCCAGUGUGUGCCAGGACUGGCCUGGGUCCUUCUGAGAGCAGGCACAGCCCCUGGAAUGAAUUCCUGCUGUUGGUCUUGCCUGCCUCCAUGGGGCCUCCAAUGUUGGGGUCUUUUCCCCCUACCCUUACCUUCAUCCUGGGCUCUGCAUAGAUCCUUCAGGCUCAUACGAUGGUCUGCAUCAUGCCCACUAGCUACCCUCCAGGGCUAACAAUGGAAGGUUGUUGGGGUCACAGAGCAGCCUGAUAUUGGCUCCUCCUCUGAGGUUGAGGAAAGAGCAGUGCCAGUACCCUCUAAAGGGACUGAAUCUCUCUGUAGAGCACAGCCUAGUGUGACCCAUAUAGUUCCACCCUCCAACUGGGAGGGGGACUGAAGACCUCUAGUUCUGAUGAGCCCACCCAUCACUGAUGAAUGUCAGAUUCUAAUUAAGUCACUUCCAGCAGGACUUCUAGAGCCAGGAGGUGGUUGUUGAGGAUUUGGGGAGCAGUGUAUUAAGUUGCGGGAGUGGCCCUGGGGGGUUCAUGUUAGGUCUACCAGAGGGGUGAGGGUUAGAGAUCUGCUGGGAUUAGGGAGCCAGUGGCUUAGAGAAGCCCCUAUUCACAUGAACCCCCACCUCCUACUCCAUCCCCCACCCACCACAAAGGAAUGCCAGUUUAGAUGCUGGAUUAGAAUCAACCCCACCCUAGAGGAAGUUGCUGUGUUGUACCAAAAAGCAACUUGACAGUCUAGUUGAAUUGUUCCCCAUGGAAAAAUUUAUUGCAUUUCUCUUUUCCUAACGUAGCAUCCUGAAACAUGGAGAAAUCACUGGCUCACCUUAAAAGUCCCAUCAGAGCAGCAAAAGGAGCCAGCCAGCAGGGUGAACCACGCCCCUUCCCCAGGCCUGCCUCACACAGGAGACAAAAAUCAGCCCUCUUACUUCACCAAAGGAGGCGGGAGGAGAAAGGUGUCUGUCUGUCUGUCUGAUGCUGAGUGAAAAUCCAUGUCAAACUCUAGCUGAAUGUCAUUUCCAGUGGGAUACCUGUCUGCCUGUUUGGUUUGGUGGUUCUCAGAUCCAGAGAUCCGUGAAAAAACACAGAAAGAGUGUUCAGGCUUGGCUCCCUGGCUCCCAGCCUCCUGCGCUCACACUGGGCACUGAUGAGUGCAGGUUCACAACACAAACAUGCUCCCCCCGCAUCCACCCACACCCCAACUCUAACAACCCACACAGAUGUCCUGAUCAUCACCUAUAAAACUGGCAUAUGAAGCUCAGCUCGGCUCAGCACUGCACUGCUCUGCUUCACUUGGCUCUGCUCAGCUGGGCUCCAUAAACCCCACAUGUGUCUGUCUAUCCAUUUGCCCCCUGAUUGGACUGACUCCUAGAUCAUCAUCCAUGAACCCACUUGGGACCCGUUUCUCUCUGUUUGCUCUCUCUCUCUCUCUCUCUCUGUCUCUCUCUCUCUCUCUCUCUCUGCUUUUUGUCGUGCAAGGGGCCUUGCUUUUAGCUGUCUCUCAGCUGUCCUUGUGGCCCUAUGCCUUUUUUCACUCUCUCCUCCCUGCUUUUUCUCAGACCCUAACACCACACACACCCUUAUGCCUUGAUCUUCACCCGAGAGCCUAACACUCAGGGCUCAGCUGAGCUCUGCUGAUGGAUCCCAGAUCUACCUACUCCUCUUCCUGCCUGUCUGCUGGGAUUCCCACAUCUGUCCUACACAAACACCUUUGGAUCCUCUCUCCGAUCCCUCCCUGUUUUCAUCCCCAGUCCUGUCCCUUUUACCACCCAUCUGCACACUCUCUGUACCUUUCUCUGAGCCCUUAGACUCUUUCUGCCUCACUCUCUCUGUCUGUCUCUCUGUCUCUGUCACUGUCUCUGUCUCUGUCUGUUUCUCUGUCUUUCUCUGUCUCUGCUUUCCUCUGGCCUUUGCCUAGUUUGGGUUCUCUCUGGUUUUGUUUGCAGGGGGAGGAGCUGCAGUCUUUUUUCACUCUCUCGGGUUUUCUCCCUCCCUGGGCUGCUUUCAGUCUCUCUCUGCUUUCUUACCUUCCCCUGGGCUUUUUGGGGCUGGGUCUCAGUUGUUUGUGCAGCCUCACCCAUGUCUCUGUUAACUGGGGCCUUCCCCACUCUUUUACAGACCGUAACAUCACACAGACACACACACACACACACACACACACACACACACACACACACACAUACACACACACACACCUAUGCCCUGAUCAUCAACCAUGAGCCUAACACACACAGCAGCUCAGCUCAGCUCAGCUCAGUGGAUUCUAAUCUAAGCCUCUGCCUGGGUCUUGCUGCUGGGAUUGCCCUGUCUGUCUUCAGUCCCUUUGCCUCUUUUGGAUCCCUCCCUCCAUCCCUCAUUCCCCAGUUUAUCCCCCCCCCCUCCUUUCCCAUUUACCACUGGCUGGGCUGUCCCCUCUGUGCUAUUCUCCGGGGGGCCCUUUAACUCUUUGGACAUCUCUGUCUCUGGCUGUUUCUCCAUCUCUGUCUCUGUCUCUUUCUUUGCUUUUCUCAGGACCUCUGCUCUUUGAAGUUUUACAUUCUUGCCUUUUGGCUCUGGGCUCUGUGCUCUGGUUUCUGUGCUGUGGUCUCUGGGCUCUUGGAGGCUGGGCACAGAGUGGAGGGGACUGAGUGAGUGAGUGGGCUGCCUGGGAGUGGCAGACAGGAUGCAGGGAGUGGAGUAGGGUGGCAACAGGGUGUUGGUUCCGGAGGCUUAGCUAGAGGAGUGCUGGAUUAGGGCAGGCCAGUGGACCCCAGGCAGCUAGGGUUAGGAUGGCCUGGGUUAGAAUUAGCGCAGGGUUGCAGUUUAGCCAGCCUCUGGGCUUAACAGGCAGGGAUUUAGGGAGGCAAUGGGCUGCCACGCCCCAGCAGCCAUGCCACACCCCAGGCUGGAUUGGAUCUGCUGUGGGUUCAUGCACCAUGAAUUCCACAGCCUAGGUGAAAUUUUCCAAGUGGGAAAAGUCUGUCUGCUGACUGAACAUCGAAUUCUCCGAGGCUUUCCUGCUUCCUCUCAGCAUCCAAGGCCUCCGAGGUUCUCCUGUGUCCCUGAGUCCCUGGCUUUCUGAUUUCCAAGAUUGGGCAGAGUUCAGUCAAGGUUCCCUGCCUGGCUUUAAACCCUGCUUUGUCUGGGAUUUCUGGGUUCCCUGAGCUCCCUGGGUGCCCUGCCUCCUCUAUCCUCUCUGCCUCUUCUGGCUGCCCUGGCUGGCUUCCCCAGUCUCCCUCCUGGCUUCCCUGGCACCCCUUCUUCCCAGGCUCCCUGGGCUCCCUGGCUCCUCCUUGCCUUCCUUCGUGGUCCCUGGGUGCUGCUCUGCCUCCCCAGGCUUCUCCGCCUCCUCUGUCUGCCCUGGAUUGCCUCCCUGAUGUCCUUGCUUCCCGGGCCCCCUUCCUUCCCUGGCUGCUUGCCUUCCUCUGUGCUCCUGGCCUGGCUGCCAGCCUCCUUGCCUUCACCCAGGGGCAUCAGCACAGGCCACCCUCCCUCCUAGUCCUCACUGUCCACGUGGCCAUCCCAUUUUGGUGAUUCUCCCAUCCAGAGUUCUUUGGAGUACACCCUGCUGAUCCCCACUCGCUGAUGGCUCUCUGCCCUCUCAGCCCUAAUCCUUAAUCAGCCCCAUAUUCUUUUCCACUUUUUUAAAAUGAAAAUCCUGGGGGCUGGGUGUUUAACUCAGCGGCAUAAACACCUGCCUUGCAAGCAGGGGGUCCUGAAUUCGAUCCCCGGUACAGAUAAAAAUGAAAAAGACCAAGAAAAAAAAAUGAAAUGAAAACCCUGCCUCUGAAAUCCUGAGUCCACCCCAUAAUGCCAUCCUCCUCCUCAGCCAAUGAGCGAGCCAGGAAGUGAGUGAAGGGAAAGGGGACUUCCGGGACACCAGGGUGGUGCCACAGGAGGAGAUGAAAGGAUUAGGGGCCAGGUUGAUGGGAUCUGCAGCCAGCAUGGAGGGAUUAGCUGGGCUGCACGGGCGUGGCCAGAUCUUGGGCUCCUGGGCUCCAGGGUUUCCCAUGCAUUCUCCCUGACUGACCUCAAGCCUUAACAAGCUCAGGCACCAGACACCAUGCAGCAGGAGUUAACCAGCCCACACAGCCAGACCUCUGGCUGGCCCUCCAGAGCUCCCCUUCCCUGCUUUCUCUCUCCAUUCCCCUCCAGGUUCCCAGGACCCCUCUUGCUGGCCCAGCUCCUGGCUCCCAGCUCUCCCAGGAGCUCUGCCUGCUUGCCUGGCUACCUGCCUGACUUCAGGGACCCCAUGACAAUGCGGACCAAGAAGAGAUGGGGACAACAGCCAUCUGCCAUGCAUCGAGUGAGGUUCCUGGGACUUGGCACUCCCAGCUCCUGGAUCCUGGCUCACCAUGCAUCUCCUCCCUCCUGCCAGCCUGCCUGCCCUCCAGGACCCCGUGAUGAUGCGGGCCACGAUGAGUUGAGGCGGACAACAGCUGUCCACCAGACAGCCAGCAAGGUUCCUGGAACCCAGCUCUCUGGGCUCAGGGCUCUGGCCCCCCCAGCUGCAGCCUCCCAGCUCCAAGCUGCCGGCUCUGCUGGAAGCUCCUACCUGCCUGCCUGCCUGACUGCCUGCUGGCCUUCCUGCCUUCCAGGACCCCACGACGAUGAGCAAGAGGAGAUGAGGGGGACCACAGCCAUCCAGCACACACCACAGCACAGCCAGAUGACCACCUGGGCUGGCUGUUGGUGUAGACCAUGAGCAUCUAUAGGCUCAGAUCCCAGAGCAUAUACUUUGUGCAGGGAAGGUUUCCCACGUGGCACUGCGGCUUAGGUCGGAGACUGGAGGCCACUGGGUUCCAUACCAAUCUCUGAUGGCUGCUGCUGGACACCAGUACCCUCUGAGGUGGUGCCAGGACCCUCGGAUGGCUAUAGAUAUGUAUCCUGCCCGUUUCUACUGUGCACGUGUGUGUGAGUGUGUGGGGGAUGCCUUGCCCCAGCAGGGCCCUCCUACAUGUUCGGGCCAAGGGGUCAGGAGAUUCGUAAGGAAGGCUAUGACCAAGGAAGGAGGCCAUCGGGGAGCACCAGGGGGCACCCGCACAGCUGACACACAAAUGGACGUGAGGGUCACAUGGACUGGUUCACCUGUCUGUGGCAAGUGAAGACAGAAGAACUGUACCGACACACAGAUGGGCACAUUUUCCUGGGGCCCAUGUCUUCGAGGAACCUGCAGCCUUGUCACCCUCUGUCUAUCUGUCUGAUCAGAAGGGAGUUACCUUGUUACCUGCCACCAAGGGUGCCAUAGCAAGCGGUGGCUGUGUCUGAUGACAGACAGGAGAGAGGUGGUGCCACGUGUUGUUGGCUGUCUCUGUCUUUGGGCUGCAUGUAGGGGAACUCAGGGUUGUGUGUGUAUAGGGCUGGGUCAGCAUCCAGUGUGUGCCAGGACUGGCCUGGGUCCUUCUGAGAGCAGGCACAGCCCCUGGAAUGAAUUCCUGCUGUUGGUCUUGCCUGCCUCCAUGGGGCCUCCAAUGUUGGGGUCUUUUCCCCCUACCCUUACCUUCAUCCUGGGCUCUGCAUAGAUCCUUCAGGCUCAUACGAUGGUCUGCAUCAUGCCCACUAGCUACCCUCCAGGGCUAACAAUGGAAGGUUGUUGGGGUCACAGAGCAGCCUGAUAUUGGCUCCUCCUCUGAGGUUGAGGAAAGAGCAGUGCCAGUACCCUCUAAAGGGACUGAAUCUCUCUGUAGAGCACAGCCUAGUGUGACCCAUAUAGUUCCACCCUCCAACUGGGAGGGGGACUGAAGACCUCUAGUUCUGAUGAGCCCACCCAUCACUGAUGAAUGUCAGAUUCUAAUUAAGUCACUUCCAGCAGGACUUCUAGAGCCAGGAGGUGGUUGUUGAGGAUUUGGGGAGCAGUGUAUUAAGUUGCGGGAGUGGCCCUGGGGGGUUCAUGUUAGGUCUACCAGAGG